GGGCCCGCACAAGCAGCGGAGCGUGUGGUUUAAUUCGAUGCUACACGAAGAACCUUACCAGGGUUUGACAUGCAAGUGGUAGGAACCGAAAGGUGACCGACCUUCGGGGAGCUUGCACAGGUGCUGCAUGGCUGUCGUCAGCUCGUGUCGUGAGAUGUUCGGUUAAGUCCGCUAACGAGCGCAACCCUCGCUGUGUGUUACAUGUGUCACACGGGACUGCCGGUCUUAAACCGGAGGAAGGUGGGGAUGAUGUCAAGUCAGCAUGGCCUUUAUAUCCUGGGCUACACACACGCUACAAUGGCCGGUACAAUAGGUUGCGAAGCCGCGAGGCGGAGCCAAUCCUCAAAGCCGGCCUCAGUUCAGAUUGCAGGCUGCAACCCGCCUGCAUGAAGAUGGAGUUGCUAGUAACCGCAGGUCAGCAAUACUGCGGUGAAUACGUUCCCGGGGCUU
rnacentral:rRNA from 1 species